AAACUUAAUUUAUAAAGUUGGUACGUAUGUGCGUCUUUACAAAAGUAAUUUUCAAUUAAGGCUUUCUAGCGGUUUUAAAUCGUUUAAAAACAUGGCAUAUGAUAAAAUGGGUUGGUUAUGGACGAAUGUUAAAAAUUUAUACCACUCGUAUGUAGAUUCUUUUUUUUUUAAAAAAGAUGAGAGUAUCAUAAAUGGCGUUUUUUGGUUUUUUUUUGGAGUAGUACCACAUUACGUCUCUUAUUUUUUUAAGUAUAAAAUAAAGCAUAUUUUAUGUGUCUUUUAUACAAGAUUCUUUAUUGUAAUAUUUUUUUUGUAUUUAGUAAUUGUUUUUAGUUUUAUUUUUUUAUGGAAUAUGGGGUACUUGCAAGAAGUUGCAAUGUAUGCUUGUUGUUUGAAACAAUUUAUACAAUGUUUCAUUGAUAAUACAUAUAUUUAUUGGAGUAAUCAAGAUUUGAUUCAAUUUGAAAGGGUAGUGUAUUUGAAAGUUUUGGAAUUUUAUGGGGAGUAUUGUGAUAUUUUCAGAAAGACAAGAGAAGUGAGUCAUUUUAUGAAUGAUAGUUGGGACGGGGGAAUGAAGGCUAGUGGAUUCUGGAGUAGAUUGACUAACUGGAUGAGUUUGACUCUAGAUCAACUUGGGCUCUAUAAUUUUAGAACAGCUUUGGGACUAAAGCUUUCACACGAAAGGAUUCAUUUUUCAGAAGAAGAAAUGGAUCUGAGAAAAAUAAGAUGGGGUAGUAGUUGGAUGUAUUCUGAUUUAUGUGAAAAGAUGACUCAUACACGAAGAGUUUUUCGUGCUAAGACAGGAGACAUAGUAAAUAAAAAACAGUUAUUAAAUUGGAUUUCUCCUUAUGUUAGCACAUAUAACAACAUUUUUGUCUUUGAUCCUCAAAAAAAGCAUUUUUUUUCUACUGGUUCGUUAUUUGAGCGCCAUUUAAUGAACCAAUAUUACUCCACGUAUAAUAAAGGUAUGUUUUAUGGGGACAGAAAGAGUUUGAUUGACGAUACUCAAUUGGAACUAAAACGAGGAUUAUUUAUUUGUUAUUAUGAUUUGUUGUUGGACCCAGAAAAGAUAUUUAAAUUUGUAUUAAGUGAUUCUUUUGAAGGACCAAAAAAUGUUUGGGAUUGGAUGAUAGCUUUAAAUCCUGUUCAAUUUUUUUUUCAUUAUUGUGAUUGGAUUUAUACGUAUUGGACUAAGAAACAUAACUCUGCUAUAAGUAAUUUAUAUCCCGAUAAGGACGAUAUGAUCAACAGGUUUUCAAUUGAAGAUGGAUUUGAAUCUUAUACUUUGAGAUAUUAUCAAAUGAGAUUGGUUACUUAUUUAAUAUUAAAUAUAUUAGUAUUGAUGAACCACGGAUAUGAUUAUAGCGGCAAUAUUGUUCUUGAUAGUGAUGAAAAAGAAGUUUUUCUUGGUCUUAUUUUGCAAUUGUGUGAGCAGUUGGAAAUGAUUAAGUUAAGGACGGGCGAGUCAGCCAUAGUGGCAUUUUUUUGACUUGAAUUUUGGUCUAACUAUAGAAUUUGUUUAUUGUUUUUAGUUUUAAUGACCUUUUCGUCUAGUGGCCAAGGACAGUUCCUUUUCACGGAGAAGACAUGGGUUCGAAUCCCAUAAAGGUCAAACGGUUAGUAAAGAAACGUAUCAAUAACAGAGUUCAAUAAAAUAAAAACGACUGUUUUAGCCGACGACAUACUAGGUUAGUUUAAAUAGGAUUGACCGAAAUCAUAAUUUUCGGUUGUUCGGAAUCGUUGGGUUUGAUUCUGGCUCGGAGUGAAUGCUAGUGACAGGCCUAACACAUGCAAGUUGAACGAACUUAUUUAUUAAUUUAGAAUUUUUGAAAAUAAAAAUAAGUUCGUGGCGAACGGGUGUAGAGAAUGUACUGAAUUUACCGAAAAAUAUAGAAUGUGUAAUAGUUAAUUACGAAUUCUAUAAAAGACUGAAAAGUCGUUUUUCGAUAAUCGUAUAGAGUUUUAAUGGUUGUUGAGCAGAAUGAAUACUGCUCAAGCCUAAAAUGCUUAGCUGUUCUUGGAGGUUGUUCAGCCACAUGGGGACUGAGACAAGGCCCUAACUUCAAAUAGGAGUCAGCAGUGAGGAAUUUUGGGCAAUGAGCGGAAGCUUGACCCAGUCAUGUCGCGUAAAUGAGGAAGGCAUUUAUAGCCGUAAAGUUUGUGUACAUUAAUAAAAUAAUGAUAGUAUUUUUGUACGAGCGCUGGCCAAUUCUCGUGCCAGCAGCCGCGGUAAUACGAGAAGCGCAAGUGUUACUCCUAUUGACUGGGCGUAAAGGGUGUGUAGGUGGUGUUGAAAGUGUUUUCAUCAAAGCUCAUUGUUUUAAUGAAGAGAGAAUUCAAACUUCAACACUUGGGUUUCUGACAGGGGCAACGGAACUUCCGAAUCAGAGUUGAAAUGCGUAAAAAUCGGAGGGAACACCAAAGGCGAAAGCGGUUGCCUAUCAUAGACCGACACUGAGGCACGAAGGCAUGGGUAUCGAAAAGGAUUAGAAACCCUUGUAGUCCAUGCUGUCAACUAUGAGUGUUAAAUGUUAACGUAUGACCGUUAAUGUUACAGCUAACGCGUGAAACACUUCGCCUGGGGACUACGAUCGCAAGAUUAAAACCUAAAGAAAUUGACGGAGAUCCGAUACAAUCAGUGGAGCAUGUGGUUUAAUUCGAUGCAACGCGAAGAACCUUACCAAUUCUUGAUAUACCAAGUAAAAUUUAAAAAUAUAAGAUUGGAUAAGAAUAAAUAUCUUAUAUUUUUUGUAUUUUUAGAUACAUUUGGAUGGAAAUCCACAAUAGUCGAUAUCAGGUGUACAUCGAGUUUAUAGAUGUGUUUCACAGUUAAUAUCUAAUGCUUGGUACAGGUGCUGCAUGGCUGUCGUCAGCUCGUGUCGUGAGAUGUUGGAUCAAUUAAGGACGAACGAACGCAACCCCAUUUUUUAUUUUUAUCUAGAACUAGAUUGAUGAAUAAAAUUUAGGGAUGACGUCAAGUCAUCAUGGCCUUAAUGAAUUGGGCUAUCCACGUGCUACAAAGGUCACGACAAAGAGAAGCGAUAACGUUGAGUUGGAGCUAAUCUCUAAAAAGUGAUCAAUGUUCGGAUUGUUCUCUGAAAAUCGAGAACAUGAAGCAGGAAUUGAUAGUAAUCGUCAAUGAGAAUGUGACGGUGAAUAUAUUUCCGGAUCUUGUACAAACCGCCCGUCACGCCACGGAAGCUAGUGACCUUUCUAGGCUUUACUAGAUGAAUUAUAAAAUAUCUUAAGUAGGAUGUUUGAAAUUCUAAAAGUGAUAGUCAAUAGGUCAUUAGCAACUGGGGUGAAGUCGUAACAAGGUAGCCGUAGGGGAACCUGCGGCUGGAAAAAGG
rnacentral:rRNA from 1 species